GAUGAACGCUAGCUACAGGCUUAACACAUGCAAGUCGAGGGACCGGCGCACGGGUGAGUAACACGUAUCCAACCUGCCCUUUACUCGGGGAUAGCCUUUCGAAAGAAAGAUUAAUGCCCGAUAUAAAGGAUGGGGAUGAGUUCCAUUAGGUUGUUGGUGAGGUAACGGCUCACCAAGCCUUCGAUGGAUAGGGGUUCUGAGAGGAAGGUCCCCCACAUUGGAACUGAGACCCGGUCCAAGCUCCGACGGGAGGCAGGAGUGAGGAAUAGUGGUGAAUGGGCGCUAGUCUGAACCAGCCAAGUAGCGUGAAGGAUGAAGGCUUAUGGGUAGUAAACUUCUGUUAUAGAAGAAUAUGUAUUAUAUGAAUAAGGAUCGGCUAACUCCGUGCCAGCAGCCGCGGUAAUUC
rnacentral:rRNA from 1 species